UACGGAGGGUGCAAGCGUUGCUCGGAAUUAUUGGGCGUAAAGGGUAGGUAGGUGGUCUCGUUUGUCAGGGGUGAAAGCCUUGGGCUUAACUCAAGAAGUGCCCCUGAAACGGCGAGACUCGAGUACUGGAGAGGCUAGUGGAAUUCCCGGUGGUAGCGGUGAAAUGCGUAGAGAUCGGGAGGAACACCAGAGGCGAAGGCGGCAUCCUGGACCGGCAUUGACGCUGAGGCGCGAAAGCCAGGGGAGCAAACGGG
rnacentral:rRNA from 1 species